UUACGGCCAUAUCACGUUGAAAUACCGGUUCUCAUGCAAUCACCGAAGUUAAGCAACGUCGAGCCUGAUCAGUAGCUAGAUGGGUGACCGCUUGGCAAUACCAGGGACUGUAAU
rnacentral:rRNA from 1 species